CGGGAUGUGGCGCAGUAGGUAGCGCGCCUGGUUUGGGACCAGGAGGUCGCCGGUUCGAGACCGGCUAUCCCGA
rnacentral:tRNA from 1 species